AGAGCGAACGCUGGCGGCAGGCCUAACACAUGCAAGUCGAACGGAACCUUCGGGUUCAGUGGCGGACGGGUGAGUAACACGUGGGAACGUGCCUUUUGGUUCGGAAUAACUCAGGGAAACUUGUGCUAAUACCGAAUGUGCCCUUCGGGGGAAAGAUUUAUCGCCAAAAGAGCGGCCCGCGUCUGAUUAGCUAGUUGGUGGGGUAAAGGCCCACCAAGGCUACGAUCAGUAGCUGGUCUGAGAGGAUGAUCAGCCACAUUGGGACUGAGACACGGCCCAAACUCCUACGGGAGGCAGCAGUGGGGAAUCUUGCGCAAUGGCGAAAGCCUGACGCAGCCAUGCCGCGUGGAUAAUGAAGGUCUUAGGAUUGUAAAAUCCUUUCACCGGGGACAUAAUGACGGUACCCGGAGAAGAAGCCCGGCUAACUUCGCGCCAGCAGCCGC
rnacentral:rRNA from 1 species